rnacentral:misc_RNA from 1 species
CAGAGUUAUACAACUCCCAUACCAUUUGUGAACCUACUCAGUUAUGCCUCGGCGUCAGCUUGGUGGGCAUGACGGUGUUACCCUGUAGCUACCCUGUAGCCGCGGGGUUACCCUGGAGCUACCCUGUAGCUCUGAGGGUGCUACCCUGUAGCGCGCCGCCUCCCCCAAGCCCGCCGGUGGUACACGAAACUCUUGUUUUAUUGUAUCUUCUGAGCGUCUUAUUUUAAUAAGUUA